rnacentral:rRNA from 1 species
CCUGACGCAGCGACGCCGCGUGAAGGAAGAAGGUUUUCGGAUCGUAAACUUCUAUCCUUGGUGAAGAUAAUGACGGUAGCCAAGAAGGAAGCCCCGGCUAACUACGUGCCAGCAGCCGCGGUAAUACGUAGGGGGCAAGCGUUGUCCGGAAUGAUUGGGCGUAAAGGGCGCGUAGGCGGCCCGGUAAGUCUGAAGUGAAAGUCCUGCUUUUAAGGUGGGAAUUGCUUUGGAUACUGUCGGGCUUGAGUGCAGGAGAGGUAAGCGGAAUUCCCGGUGUAGCGGUGAAAUGCGUAGAGAUCGGGAGGAACACCAGUGGCGAAGGCGGCUUACUGGACUGUAACUGACGCUGAGGCGCGAAAGUGUGGGGAGCAAACAGGAUUAGAUACCCUGGUAGUCCACGCCGUAAACGAUGAGUACUAGGUGUAGGAGGUAUCGACUCCUUCUGUGCCGCAGUUAACACAAUAAGUACUCCGCCUGGGAAGUACGGUCGCAAGAUUAAAACUCAAAGGAAUUGACGG